AUUGAACGCUGGCGGCAGGCCUAACGCAUGCAAGUCGAACGGUAACAGGAAGAAGCUUGCUUCUUUGCUGACGAGUGGCGGACGGGUGAGUAAUGUCUGGGAAACUGCUGAUGGAGGGGGAUAACUACUGGAAACGGUAGCUAAUACCGCAUAACGUCGCAAGACCAAAGAGGGGGACCUUCGGGCCUCUUGCCAUCGGAUGUGCCCAGAUGGGAUUAGCUUGUUGGUGGGGUAACGGCUCACCAAGGCGACGAUCCCUAGCUGGUCUGAGAGGAUGACCAGCCACACUGGAACUGAGACACGGUCCAGACUCCUACGGGAGGCAGCAGUGGGGAAUAUUGCACAAUGGGCGCAAGCCUGAUGCAGCCAUGCCGCGUGUAUGAAGAAGGCCUUCGGGUUGUAAAGUACUUUCAGCGGGGAGGAAGGGAGUAAAGUUAAUACCUUUGCUCAUUGACGUUACCCGCAGAAGAAGCACCGGCUAACUCCGUG
rnacentral:rRNA from 1 species